rnacentral:rRNA from 1 species
AGAGUUUGAUCAUGGCUCAGAACGAACGCUGGCGGCAGGCUUAACACAUGCAAGUCGAACGCACUCUUCGGAGAGAGUGGCAGACGGGUGAGUAACGCGUAGGAAUUUGCCCAGUAGUGGGGGACAACUUAGGGAAACUUAAGCUAAUACCGCAUACGCCAGGUGAUCUUCGGACCUUGCGCUAUUGGAGAAGCCUGCGUCGGAUUAGCUAGUUGGUGGGGUAAAGGCCUACCAAGGCGACGAUCCGUAGCUGGUCUGAGAGGAUGAUCAGCCACACUGGGACUGAGACACGGCCCAGACUCCUACGGGAGGCAGCAGUGGGGAAUAUUGGACAAUGGGCGAAAGCCUGAUCCAGCCAUGCCGCGUGUGUGAAGAAGGCCUUAGGGUUGUAAAACUCUUUUAUAUGGGAAGAUAAUGACGGUACUAUAUGAAUAAGCACCGGCUAACUCCGUGCCAGCAGCCGCGGUAAUACGGAGGGUGCGAGCGUUAAUCGGAAUUACUGGGCGUAAAGCGCGCGUAGGCGGCCUGAUAAGUUGGAUGUGAAAGCCCUGGGCUCAACCUAGGAACUGCAUUCAAAACUGUCAGGCUAGAGUAUGGUAGAGGAUAGUGGAAUUUCCGGUGUAGCGGUGAAAUGCGUAGAGAUCGGAAGGAACAUCAGUGGCGAAGGCGACUACCUGGCCAAAUACUGACACUGAGGUGCGAAAGCGUGGGGAGCAAACAGGAUUAGAUCCCCUGGUAGUCCACGCCGUAAACGAUGUCAACUAGCCGUUGGAGGGCUUGUCCCUUUAGUGGCGCAGCUAACGCACUAAGUAGACCGCCUGGGGAGUACGGUCGCAAGAUUAAAACUCAAAUGAAUUGACGGGGGCCCGCACAAGCGGUGGAGCAUGUGUUUUAAUUCGAAGCAACGCGAAGAACCUUACCCGCUCUUGACAUCCACAGAACUUUCCAGAGAUGGAUCGGUGCCUUCGGGAACUGUGAGACAGGUGCUGCAUGGCUGUCGUCAGCUCGUGUUGUGAAAUGUUGGGUUAAGUCCCGUAACGAGCGCAACCCUUGUCCUUAUUUGCCAGCACGUAAUGGUGGGAACUCUAAGGAGACUGCCGGUGACAAACCGGAGGAAGGUGGGGACGACGUCAAGUCAUCAUGGCCCUUACGAGCGGGGCUACACACGUGCUACAAUGGCCAGGACAAACGGUUGCAACCCCGCGAGGGUGAGCUAAUCUGAGAAACCUGGUCGUAGUCCGGAUCGCAGUCUGCAACUCGACUGCGUGAAGUCGGAAUCGCUAGUAAUCGUGAAUCAGAACGUCACGGUGAAUACGUUCCCGGGCCUUGUCCACACCGCCCGUCACACCAUGGGAGUGGAUUGCAGCAGAAGUAGCUAGCUUAACCUUCGGGAGGGCGGUUACCACGGUGUGGUUCAUGACUGGGGUGAAGUCGGAACAAGGUAACCGUA